AUGGCCAUGAUGGUCCCUUCACCGACUGUCAACAUGAGGAGCUCGAUGAUAGGGAUUGGUUGAAACCAGGUUUUUUUUAUCAAAGAGGAAGCAAAGCAGCUGUGAAGGUUGAGGAGAUAGUUCUCAGCAAGCGCCUUUGCACAGAUGUGGCUAAACUGUCAACUGGCUACCAGACGUCUACACUGGAAAGUUUCCACGCCACCAUUAAUCACUUUGCCCCAAAGAUGAUGAGCUUUUCAUAUCAUGGGCAAGCCUGUAGGCAGAUUAUCGCAGCACUUCAUUUGAAUGAAAACGUCCACAUAGAAGUGGCAACAAAUACGGACGGGACAGAGAAGCAUGUGGUUGUAUUUCCAAAAUACAAGAGUGGGGAUGAUUUCUCAAUGAAACCAACAAUGGUUGACCAAACGUUUCAUUAUGUGGACAAGCUCAUGAAUAUGGUGUUUGAAAUAUGUGAAUCGAACCAACCGACAGUGAUGGCAACACCUGCUCCACCUCCUUUAACAAAUGGCAAGCGCAGACCGACAGAAGAGGAACUGCAAACAGUUGUGGCAAGGCGGUUUAAGCGUUUAUGCUACUAGUGUGUUAGUGGUGUCAAAAGGCAUUCUUGGUGCACACACACAGCUAUUUUUAAACAUUAUAUUUGUGUCUUAUUCUUUGAAUGUUUGUAGGUGCUAUUAAUUCUCUGAAUGUUUGUAAGUGCAAAGAUUUUCUAUUAGCUCAUUGCCUGAAGUGCUGUUGAGGUACUGUAUAGAAAUAGUAAUUGGUGUUUGUUUCAUUUGCUUGCUUAUUGAUAAAUACUACACACAAAUUA